GCCCGACCUCUUCCUCUCCCCAUUCUGGCUGGUGUCUAGGGGACAGAGAGGCAGUGGGGAAGAAGCUCAGCGGGUGGCAUCUGAGUCCCUACCCCCCCCUUCACUCCCUCCCCUAGAAGAAAGGUGAAGAAGGCAGCCAGCGGGGGAGGGGUGGGGGUGGGUGGGGGUGGUGGCGUACGCCAGUCACCUGAUCCCAGCCCACCCCAGUGAGAGAAGGCUUUGGGAGCCCUCGUAGGGCUCGGUGACCAAGGACCCUCUUUUGGAGCCAACUCCUGCGCUCCACGCGGCAGCAUCGCAUCGACACAGAGGAGACGGCCCUCAGGCUCUUUGCUUUCUCUUCUCUGCGACCCCAUCAGCUUCUGCCUAAUCCUGUUCCCCACUUCCAGGGCCUUCCAGUUGGCCCGCCUGGGAAAACAGCCCAGUAACUGCUGCAAAGGAAAUGCCCUCUGGUUCGAAGCAGCUCCUUGCCAAGAAUUCACUGAUUCAUUCAUUCAGCAAACAAGCUCUGUGCAGGACCACCGGUGCCAUGGCGGGGGCUAAGCACCAGAAAUACAAAGGGAAAAGAUUCAGAUGAGACCUUCAUGUAAAAAGAAUAGAGCUAUUAACUGGGUGAGAAGUGCUAUACGGAGAUGUAGGCAAGUCUUGAACUCAAAGACCAACCCCCCCCAACCCCAUUUUACAUCUAGUCACUGUUGCAACGGGACCGACUCUAUGCCUGCUAAAGACAACCCUGCAAUAAAGAACUAAGAUGAAGCGUUCCCAUUGUGGCGCAGCGGAAACGAAUCUGACUAGCAUCCGUGAGGAUGCAGGUUUGAUCCCUGGCCUUGCUCAGUGGGUUAAGGAUCCAGCAUUGGCGUGAGCUGUGGUGUAGGUUGCAGACAUGGCUCGGAUCUGGUGUGGCUGUGGCUCCGGCGUGGGCCGGCGGCUACAGCUCUGAUUCAACCCCUAGCCUUCGAACCUCCAUAUGCUGUGGGUUGGGCCCUUAAAAGCCAAAAAAAAAAAAAAAAAAAAAAAAAAAGAAUGAAGAUGAUGUUAUCUCUGCUUUAAGCUUAUCACUUCCCGGCCUCUUCCCACACUGGUUACUUCAUCAGUCGGAGACCCUUGG
rnacentral:lncRNA from 9 species